rnacentral:tRNA from 1 species
CAGGGCGUAGCUAUAAUACAAAGCACUCAGCUUACACCUGAAAGAUACCUACCACUUCUAGGUCGUCCUGA